rnacentral:lncRNA from 1 species
CACAAACUUGACAGAGAAGCAGCAGCCCACUCUAAGUCAAAGUCUCCCUGGCUCAAUGACGGCCCUUUCUCUCAAGCCCUCUUCAUCCACUGAGACCCUCUGCGGGAGAGUAGUGCUGAAUCUCAGGUGUAGUCUUGUUUCCAGGUUGCUAUACAGCAUCUCACAAUGUGCUCCAUCCUUCUUCUUGGUUUGAGCUGUAGGUGAACAGAGGAGGAUGGUGAAGAGGGUGCAGAACUGAAGAACAUCAAAGUCCCAGCAUUCAAGAUAGGCAUCUCUCACCUUGAAGUCUUUUAAAAACUCCAAAGGGGCAA